rnacentral:rRNA from 1 species
ACCGGCUUCGGCCGGGAGUAGAGUGGCGAACGGGCGAGGAAUGCGUUUCUAACGUGCCCCAAGGUCGAGGAUAGCUCGGGGAAACCCGGGGUAAUACUCGAUGACCCCCAUGGAUCGCAUGGUUCGUGGGGCAAAGGCUUGCUGCCUUGGGAUCGGGAAACGCCCUAUCAGGUUGUUGGUGAGGUAACGGCUCACCAAGCCUAAGACGGGUAGCGGGUGUGAGAGCAUGACCCGCCGCAUCGGGACUGAGACACUGCCCGGACUCCUACGGGAGGCUGCAGCAACGGAUAUUGGGCAAUGAGCGAAAGCUUGACCCAGCAAUGCCGCGUGCAGGAGGAAGCCCCUCGGGGUGUAAACUGCUGUCAGGGUUUAGGAAGUUCUGACCAAACCCAAAGGAAGGGCCGGCUAACUUCGUGCCAGCAGCCGCGGUAAUACGAAGGGCCCAAGCGUUAAUCGGAAUCACUGGGCUUAAAGGGUGCGCAGGCGGAAUGGUCAGUGUCUUGUGAAAUCCCACGGCUCAACCGUGGAACUGCAGGGCAUACUGCCAUUCUUGAGGCCGGUAGAGGCCGCCGGAACUCUAGGUGUAGCGGUGAAAUGCGUAGAUAUCUAGAGGAACGCCAAAGACGAAGGUAGGCGGCUGGGCCGGGUUCUGACGCUCAGGCACGAACGCGUGGGGAGCAAACAGGAUUAGAUACCCUGGUAGUCCACGCCGUAAACGUUGUGCACUAGGUGCUGGAGGUUCUGACACCAUCAGCGCCGAAGCGAAAGUGAUUAGUGCACCGCCUGGGGAGUACGGUCGCAAGGCUAAAACUCAAAGGAAUUGACGGGGGCUCACACAAGCGGUGGAGCAUGUGGCUUAAUUCGAGGCAACGCGAAGAACCUUAUCCUGGGCUUGACAUGCAUGGAUUAACGCUGGGAAACCAGCGCCACACUCUUUGAGUGGAACAUGCACAGGUGCUGCAUGGCUGUCGUCAGCUCGUGCUGUGAAGUGUUGGGUUAAGUCCCUUAACGAGCGAAACCCCUGUCGCUAGUUACCAUCAGGUAAUGCUGGGGACUCUAGCGAGACUGCCGGUGUCAAACCGGAGGAAGGCGGGGAUGACGUCAAGUCCUCAUGGCCUUUAUGCCCAGGGCUGCACACGUGCUACAAUGGCGCCGACAGAGUGAAGCAAAACCGCGAGGUAGAGCAAAUCGCAAAAAAGGUGCCCCAGUUCGGAUUGCAGUCUGCAACUCGACUGCAUGAAGCUGGAAUCGCUAGUAAUCGCGUAUCAGCAACGACGCGGUGAAUACGUUCCUGAGCCUUGUACACACCGCCCGUCAAGUCAUGGAAGCCGGGAGUACCCGAAG